AGGAAGGGCAUUUGGUGGAUGCCUUGGCAUGCACAGGCGAUGAAGGACGUGGCACGCUGCGAUAAGCUGUGGGAAGGUGUGAGCAACCGUUGAUCCGCAGAUUUCCGAAUGGGGAAACCCGACUCUUAGAGUCAUUUGUAUCUGAAUACAUAGGAUGCAGAAGCAAACCCGGGGAACUGAAACAUCUCAGUACCCGGAGGAAAGGACAUCAACCGAGACUCCGUUAGUAGUGGCGAGCGAACGCGGACCAGGCCAGUGGUCUGGAGUAUUCAACUGGAACCGUCUGGAAAGGCGGGCCUUAGAGGGUGAUAGCCCCGUACAGGUAAAGAUACUUCAGAUCCUUGAGUAGGGCGGGACACGUGAAAUCCUGUCUGAACAUGGGGGGACCACUCUCCAAGCCUAA
rnacentral:rRNA from 14 species